UGACAUGGCAACUCUCCGUGAUUGGAUUACUACUGGACUUGGAGUCAUGGGGUUCGGGCUCAGAUGAUCUGCAGUGGAACCUGGAAUGAAGGAGAAGCAUAGGACAAUGUUUAUUUUGGUCCCUACGAUUUCAUGAAGUUGGAUGUGCCUGUAUGUUAGCUUAUUUUGGUACGGAGGGGUUCAUGAAGUUUGGAUUUGUGACUGUAGUGCAUAAUGCACAACCACUUGGUAAUUUGGUAUUUGGCUGACCUUCAUUCGGUUGUAUGAAUACAUGAUG